rnacentral:lncRNA from 1 species
CUCUUUCUCCCCAGCUCCAGCUCCACGCCGGACGCAGCAGCAGCAGCAGAAGCAGAAGCAGAAGCAGAAGCAGAGAUCGAUGGCCGCCCUCGCCGCCUCCUCCACGGCCGCCUUCGCCGCGAAGCCGCGCCUCCCUCGCGCGCGCCUCUCCGUGGCCUGCUCCGCCACCGGCGACGGCAACGCCAACAGCGUGUCGCUCGCGUCCUCCGUGAAGACGUUCUCGGCGGCGCUGGCGCUGUCGUCGGUGCUUCUCUCCUCGGCCGCCACCUCCCCACCGCCCGCGGCCGCCGACAUCGCGGGGCUGACCCCGUGCAAGGAGUCCAAGGCGUUCGCGAAGCGGGAGAAGAACUCGAUCAAGAAGCUCACGGCGUCGCUGAAGAAGUACGCGCCCGACAGCGCCCCCGCGCUCGCCAUCAACGCCACCAUCGAGAAGACGAAGAAGCGGUUCGAGAACUACGGCAAGUUCGGGCUGCUCUGCGGCGCCGACGGCCUGCCGCACCUCAUCGUCAGCGGCGACCAGCGGCACUGGGGCGAGUUCAUCACCCCCGGCCUGCUCUUCCUCUACAUCGCCGGGUGGAUCGGGUGGGUCGGCAGGAGCUACCUCAUCGCCAUCAGCGGCGAGAAGAAGCCCGCCAUGAGGGAGAUCAUCAUCGACGUCGAGCUCGCCACCCGCCUCCUCCCCAGGGGGUUCAUCUGGCCCGUCGCGGCGUACCGCGAGCUCAUCAACGGAGACCUCGUCGUCGACGACAAGGACAUCGGCUACUACUAACUGCGUGCUGCACCUGCUUGCACAUCGCUGCUGGCGAGGCAAGACCGGAUCCAUUAUCGCUGAACAGUUUUGUUUCUUGAUUGGUGAUUACUAAUAAUGGAAGACUAAUUAACGUGCCUUGUGUUCUUGUUUGUUGUGCAGGGCGCAGUGCGUAUGUGGGGAAAGAUCGAUGGCUUUUGGUGUAGGAGCUGGUAGGGGGAAGGAAUCCAAGUGAUCUGUUGUACUUAAAAGAAACUGGAUGAAAGCCUUGUAUAAUUGGACUUCUAUCUCUUGUGUGUAUUCACCUUCAUGAAAAUUCUUGAGAAUAUGCUUCAAAAAGAUAAUCUUGAGAACAAUUUCAUUUUGCAUUGCGUUGCCACUUGCGUGUUAAUCGUCAGUGAAGAGGUAUAACUUCCCAAUUAGUUAGAGCACAAAAUUAAAACACAGAAUUGGUUCAAGUGCUCGACUAGAGGGAAGUACCAAGUUAUAGUUUAGAAGGUAAUUUUAUCUAGUUUUUUGGAGAUGCUCUUAAACAAAAGCUGAUGUGAGUGUUGGAUACAAUCUCAAAAUUACUGCCUUCACUCAACAAAGAAAAACAAAACAACUCCAUCACUUACUACUCCCUAAUACACAUAUAUAAUUCAGCUAAGUUCGACCCAAUGUCUUAGUGAAUCCCAAUUUGACAUUCAAAGUUAUAUUUGAUUAUUUCCUAAUAAACAAACUCUUUUCUGUGUAUACUAGCAGCAUUAAUAACAUAUUAAGAAGACAUUAGCUAUUGUACAAAUGUCAAAACCGUUCGGGAGUCGGGAAUCGUUUUGUAUAUUUCCUUGUAAUGUGUGAUAAAUUCAUAUUCUCUCUAAAAUUGUUCCUUUGACAAUCACUAUCAUUGUUUCUAAAAAAAAUUGACUAGCUUCCUCGAUUUGGAAUAGAAGAACUACAGUAAGCUGAAACACCAAUGAGAAGGUAAAACAUCUAAAAUUUCGGUGUACUCUCUUGUAUGUGAAAAAAAACUACAAAAUUUCUUUAUGAUUCUCAUGAAAACGUUUCGAGCAAUGUUGCUUGUUGCAAUAUACUCCCUCCAUACCUAUAAAGAAAGUUGUUUUGAACAAAGUUUUAAGUCAAACAUUGAGAAUAUAAAUCAUGAAUAACUUUAAGUUGUUGAGUUUGAAAAUAUGAAAACCAUAUGAAUAUAUUUAUCUUGAAAAACACUUUUAUUAAAAUAUACAUAUAUCAUUUUUGAUGAAUAUUUUUAUAAAAAUAAAGAGUUGAACUUAGAUUUUAGAGACUAUGUCGUUAAACGACUUUCUUUAAAUACGAGCUAGUAAUAGUUUGAUGUAGAAUAUCCUGUCGUGGUGCGGGCUUCGGGGCUAUAUCGGUCUUCUUGGUGUGGGGCACUUAGGUAGCCCGUUGUUCUUUGGUUGCAAAUUGUUUUUAUGUGUAAUCGCUUCUUGUAAUGCCCACCCGAGCCUUGCACAAUGACAUCUCGCUAUAUUGUGCUAGUCACUCUGUAAACUCUAAAUUUCCUCUUUAUAUGAAAUACUAUGUGCUGAACACGUUCUUGAAAAAAAAAGUCCUAUCGCAAUGAUCACUGGGAGAUGAUAAAAUUGUUUAUCGAGGAAUCAGUGCACUAGCCAUCCCAUAUCAGAUUACCAGUACAUGUAAAGAUGAUCAACAGGCGGCUCGGCCCGGCACGGCAUGCUAGACAUGGCCCGAUAGGGCACGGGCUCGUAUGGCCCGCGUGCCACCGGGUCGUGCCUCCAAGGCUAUCGUGCCUGCCUGAUGGACCAGGCACGGCCUGUGGACCGAUUUUCGAGCCGGGCCGGCCCGAAAAGCACGAAGUCCAAUAGUGCUUCAGGCCGACCUAUGGCCCGCUAUAUAAAAAACAUCAAAUUUAAUAUAUAAUUUAACAAAGCAUAAGUAAAUCACAUUCAAUUCGUAGACAUUAAUAUUUCACAAUUCACAUAACACAAUAUACUCAAAGAUCAUAUUUCACUUGUCAAAAAUUAUAAGUUUGACAAGUCACAUAACGAUACUUCAAGUUUCACAAAUUCUCUAAUACCGGACCGACACCGUGCCUGCUGUUAAAAGCGGGCCGUGCCGUGCCGCCCUGCGGGCCGAGGGGUCGGCCUAAGCACGGCCCGUUACGUGCUUCGGACCGGUCCGGGCCUGGUUAGGAUCGGAUCGUGCCGUGUUCGGGCCGAGCCAAAUCACCGUGCUUUGGGCCGUGCCUUCGGCCCGCGGGCUGCAUGCUCAACUUUAAGUACAUGUAAACGAGCAGGAGCUCGCCAUAAGCAUCCUACAGUCCUACGUGGACCAAGCGAACCGGUGCACCGACCACUCUGACUGCCACGCUGUAUAAUCUUAUCCACCCGCCAGCUUGACACGUCACCAACCGCACGUGCAGAACAGACACCCCACCUUCCUUUCACUGACACUCCAGCCCCGCUUGCUCGCACCGCGCUCCACUGACCCCCGCGCGCACCGUCGUGCUACGGGGCCUACGGCACACGCGUCGCGCACUCACUGGCACCGCACUGUCGCCCUUCAUCCGGUGGCCGCCACGACCCCAUCGGUGCCCCCUCUAACGUCACAAUCGUCAACGACACACCAUCCCAUGACAUGCGGGCCACACCGUUGAUAGGCCCACCUCGCAGUGAGAGACCUCCGGUGCGCGGAGCGCUGGCUCGGCGCCCAUCGGAUCCCCACAGGCCACAGGCCACUUCCUCCCUUUCCGGCCCUCCCCCCGCACCCCACUCUCGCCGGCCGCCGCAGCCAAGGCAAGACGCCUCCUCCCCACACCCGAUCUCCCCUCCCACCUCCGAUCGCUACGUAAACCCCCAGUCCCCCACCUCCUCCGCACUCCCCCGCUUGCCGCGCAAACGCGCGCCAUUUCAAAUCCCUCCCAAACCCUACCCCGCAUGGUCGAUCGGGCCGCCGCGCGGGCACAGGCAGCGGCGAGCUCCGACCCACCGCCGGAGCCCGACCCGCGGCUCCGCCAGCCCGCCACCGCUGAUGGGCAGGAGGCCGCUUCGACGGGGGCGGCCGCGGGCCCGCCUCCCCCGCCCCAGACCGGCGACGCUGACGAGGAGGACGCUCUGGCCUCGCCGGCGGGGCCGCCGGGCGAGCGGUGCAGAGCGAUGAUGGAGGUGGUAGCCAAGGACGGGGCGGGCGGGAAGUGGAAGGUGACCAAGCUGGUGGUGGAGCACAGCCACGAGCUGCAGGUCGCCACCGGGGAUGUCGCGGCGACCGUGCCGGCGGUGGGGAUGGAAUUCGACUCUGUCGACGACGCCAAGGGGUUCUACUAUGGCUACGGCGAGCGGGUGGGGUUCAAGGCGCGCAUGGGCUCCAACCGCCGCUCGGUGGGCGACGGCGAGAAGAUCCUGCAGCGGUUCCUCUGCUGGAAAGGCAAUUGUGCGAAUAGGAGUAAAUGUAAGGAUAAUUCGGAUGCAGGGAAGGAAGCAGAGGAGGUGGUGGAGGGUGCUUCUGCUGCUGCUGCUGCGGGGAAGAGGAAGAGGGAACCUUAUAAGACAAGGAGCCGCAAUCCCGGUAAGAAUACAGAGGUGAUUGAAGUGGAGAAAGGUGUUGGGUUGGCUGGUGCUGGGAAUGGGCUAGAGCUGCAGAAUGGGAGGCGUUCCAGGAGGGGUAGGAGUAAGAAGGCCGCGGUGGAGCAUGAUGAGGAGUCUGUUGUUGGGUUUGAGGUAGAGAAGGAGGUGGCUGAAGGUGCUUCUCCUGCUUCUGAUGGUGAUGGAGAAGAUUGUGAAGGGGAGGAGGAUAAGGAAGGACUGCAAGAGGAGGUUGAGGUGGAAGUGAAGGAAAAGAGAGGGAGAGGGAGGCCGAGGAAGACUGUUAUGGAGGACGAUGCCUUGCAGGCACACGUCUUGAGGGAACUUGGUGUAAGGGCAUCGCAGUACAAUAACGAGGAGAGAAAGAAGAUACUCAAUAAGUACCGCUCUAAACGGCAGAGCAGACCAGCCUCCAGCAGGCCUACCAAGGUCAACAGCUUAGUUUGCUAUCAGUAUUUACAUGUAAAGAUGUAUCAGAAACUUCAAAGUGUUCAAGAGACAUACUAAAAUAGUUGGCACACUCUUUUCCCUACAAGCACUUACUCCCAUAUGAUGUCGCAUACUCUUUUCCUUCUAGAUUGCUUCAAGGCAAGCGUUGGCUGAAAGGCGUAAGCGUGGUGAUGGAGGUAGAUUUCUGUCAAGUGAAGAACAGCUGGUAACUUUCUGACCAUGUUGCCUAUUUUGAAUGCUUUGCAUUGUUGCUACAGCAUUGGUUACAUGCUUUAUUUAUCCAUUAACCAAAGUGAAUAUCACAAACUCUACGCCUAAUGAUAUUCAUGCAAGGAAAUAAUGAUGACUGAAUGUGCCGUAUAUUGUUUUGUGGCCAGAAAAUAUGUACUGUUACCUCAUUUGCAUAGGCAGUUCAUUUCUACAGAAAAUGGUGUUACUUUGUGGCUCUUUACAUGCUUUUACCAGUCUUUUUUUUUGGGGGGGGGGGGGUGUAUGUGCCUCAUUUGCAUACACAGUUCAUUUCUACAGAAAAUGGUGUUAUCUUCGUGGCUCUUUACAUGCUUUUACCAGUCUUUUUUUUGUGUGCGUGUGUACUCUUGUGUGUAAAAAGUAUAUAUCUUGUAACUCUUCUUGUUGUGCGAUUGCUUAACUUGCUAAAUCUGAAUUCUGGAGUGUUAUUUCUUGCCGGUUAUGCUACUGUGGCUGUAGGCUCACAUAUUUGUAAUCAAUUAACUUAACCUGCCAGGUCUUUGUUAUUGUGUUAUCUGAUGAAUUGAUCGAAAUUCUCUUAGUUGGUAGGCACUAACUUGCUUCCCUUUUAUUCGUUAUGGUUUCCACUUUUCACUGCACAUGAACAAUUUACAUAUGACAAUUAUCUUGUUAUUAUUCUUAUGUUCUCGUACUCUUGUGCUCUGCAGCCUUCUCAGCUGCCUUCAGAAAGGCGUUCCAAACGUCUUGAGAAGCAAAAUCUCAAAAUGGAGAAGGUAAGAUCCAGUAGAGACGUGUAGAGUUAUUUUGUUUGAGGAAGAAGUGGUGCUGUAUCAUCUGAUCCUAAUUCCGACCUACGCACUUGGUUGCUUUAAGGAAUCACAUGCGUUGAUCUAUCACCACUUCAUCCCUCGCAAGCACAUGCUUAGUGCAGAUGAAGGUGAUCCUACAAAAAUUCAUGAGAUGAUUCCAUGGUGGACUAUCCCAUCAAGGAUGGGUUAUUUCCUUGAACCAAGCAUCCAUUAGUUGUGUAACUUUCUUUUUAGAGAGGAUCCACAGGUGUUGCAUAGGAGAUGUCUCUUAAGUCUGCAGUGUCUAAAUUUUGUUUAGUAACAGAACAGUCUAGAAUAAUAAAUUUUUAAAGUAAUACAACCUAUGAACAGCUGCAAUUGCAUAUGUUAUAUUUGAUUAAAUGCUCAGGAUUUUCCCUUGUCCAGGCUGAGAGCAAAGAAGACGAAACAAUGGAAGUGGAACCAGAUCCAGAAAUUGAAGUCGUCCCUGGACCUGGGGGAGAACCAAAGGUUGGGAUGGUUUUUCUGAAUGAGGAUAAAGCUUAUGAAUUCUAUGUCAACUAUGCUGGAACGGCAGGGUUCAAUGUCCGAAAAGGCUGGUUGGACAAAACAGCAAAGAAUGUUAUAAAAUCUCGAGCAUAUGUUUGUUCCAAGGAGGGAUUUCGUCCAAAAAGUGCUUCUAUUGAAUCAAAGAAACUAAGACCUGAAACAAGAACUGGUUGCCAGGCACACAUGACUAUUAAGAUUACAGCAAGUGCAAAAUAUGUAGUGACUGAGUUUGUGGCUGAUCAUAAUCACGUUCUUGAAACUCCCUUGGUUGACAUUCAGAUUUUGAAGUCCCAAAAGUUAUUAGCAAAGGUACUACAGCCUCCUGAUCCACCAAAAGUUGUUCUGAUACCAAAUGAGUAUAAAAAUUACACAAGGACAAAACGUAUGAAAGAUAUGCAGUUAGGUGAUACCCAGGCCAUCUGUGAAUAUUUACAUAGGAUGAAAGGCGAGAAUCCUUCUUUCUUUUACGCCAUUCAAGUAGAUGAAGAUGAUCAGUUUACAAACGUGUUCUGGGCUGAUGGUAAAUCAAUAAUGGACUAUAACUACUUUGGUGAUGUAGUGUGUGUUGACACAAGAUAUUGCACAAGUGACUAUGGGAGACAUCUACUGUUAUUUACUGGUGUUAACCAUCAUAAGCAGCUGAUAAUAUUUGGCUCGGCGCUGAUUUAUGAUGACUCAGUCCAAUCCUUUAGAUGGUUGUUUGAGACCUUCAAAUCUGCUAUGAGUGGAAAGAAACCAAAAACAGUUUUGACUGAUCAGUCUGAUGCACUUAGUGAUGCAGUUUCUUCUUCUUGGCCUGGUACCACUCACCGCUUCUCACUACUGCAUUUGUAUCUGAAUGCUACUAAGUUAUUCAGGGAUACCUUCCAAGGCUCGGAGACUUUUGCAUCAGAUUUUAGUAGGUGGCUGUAUGAAUAUGAGGAGGAUGACUUCUAUUCGAGCUGGGAAAUCCUUUCGGAGAAAUACAGUAUAAAGGAUAAUGAGUGGUUCUGUAAAUUGUAUGAGGAUAGAGAAAGAUGGGCUUUGCCAUGUGGGCGUGAUACGUUCUGUGCUGAUAUUGCAACCGCACUAAGAAGUGAUAACAUGGAUACCAUCCUGACAGAUCUUCUUAAACCAGAAAUAGAUCUUCAAAACUUCUUCAUCAAUUAUGAUAAGUUUUUGGAGGAGAAACGCCUAGCUGAACAACAAGCCGACUACCUUGGGGCUCAAAUAGCACAAAGAGUAGCACCACUGCAUCUGCUUUGGCAAGCUGCCAAUUCAUAUACUCCAACACUUUUUGAGAUGUUCCGGAUGGAAUAUGAACAGAUCUCAAAGUGCAUGGUCUAUAGCUGUGGCGAGAUUGGACCAAUAUCUGAGUACCAGGUAACUGUCAAAGACAGGCCUCGAGGUCAAUUUGUUAGAUUUGAUUCAACAGAAUGUAUGGUUGUUUGUAGUUGUAAGAAGUUUGAAUUCAUGGGUCUUCUUUGUUGCCAUGUAUUGAAAAUUCUUGAUCUUAGAGAUAUUAAAGAACUUCCACCACAUUAUAUCCUGAAAAGAUGGAGAAAAGAUGCUCAGAGUGAAUCUCCAGAGAACUAUGGGUUUGCCGCCAUAGAUGAAGAUCCCAAGUUUUCAUUGUCAAAACGGUACAACACAUUAUACCGGAAUUUGUAUAAAAUUGCAGCAAAAGCUUCAGAAAGCGUUGAAGCUUAUGCAUUCUUGGAAAGCCAAUAUGAACAGCUUGUUGAACAAGUGGAGGUACUUUUGCAAGCGAAGUUGCAUGAUAAAUCUUCCUUAAGUACUGUCCUGAAAGGCAAUCAGCCAAAUCUGCUUAAUAGUGAGGUAAGCAGCAGUGAACAUCGCAGAGCAACUGGUAAGAAGAUUAAAAAUAUAGAGGUGCGCCGUCAGCAACAAAGUCCUCUUGAUCCAAACAAGAAGAAAAAGGGUAGACAAGGUUUGUUCAUUACCUGCACUGCUACGGUAUUCGAUUUUAUAUGAUCAGUGCAUUAUCUGAUUAACCUGUUGUAGGUCUGCUGGAACCUGAGGAGAUUGAAAUUCCACUCAGGGUUGAUCCUCCCGCAGUUUCAAAUGAUAUCCAAAAUCAUUUAAGAACUCCAACAAAUCAGUUUCUUGCACCAAGCCAUAUGAUCCAGGUAAAUUUGGCACCCUUUCUCUUUUUUCUUUUCCAUAUGUAUUGAGGAACAGACGUGAUGUAUAUUAUACUUGUGCAAAUAUAGGCCCCUUAUGUUGCACAGCAGUUUGGUCUUGGUUCUCUACAAGGAUUCCCAGGCAUGUCACCAUUUGGGCAGGUAACAUGGAAAUCAUGACUUGUUGAAGCAAAAUAGAAUUAUAUACUUCUUUCCCUCACGGACUGCAAUUUAACAUGUCGUUAGAUUCAAGAACCAACACAUCUUCAGCAGCCUCAUUUACAACCACCACCCUUUCAUAGUGGUCCUCCAAUUACACAGGUCAUAUUUCCUAUUCAAUGCUACUUCAUGUCUGUGAGAGCCCUAUAAUUCUGCUAGUUAACAUAUUUCUUGGCAUUGAUAAUUUAUUGCUAUAAGUUGUCAUCGUGCCGCAGCACAUUCCCCUUCAGAGUAAGUUUGUAUAUAGGGAAACUUGCAUUUGGAUGUCAUUUAAAUCACUGAGAUCAGUAAAAUGUCACGUGAACUUAUUAAUUAAAUACUAGUUGUAACUUGUAACAAGUGGGUUGCGCUAUUGAAUUUCCUGACAAGUCAAAUCUUUCUUACUGCAGGCUCCACCUCCAGACAUUCAAUCACUGCAGUUUCUUAGCAGCAAUCCUCAAUUGGGCCACCAGACCACAGAUCAAGGCCAGUACACCAUUCCAGUCUGGGAUUUCCUGUGAUGUACAAUAUGUGAUGCAUGCGAGAAGUAGCAAUGUAGUUGUAAAUAAAUUAUGUAAUGACCAAUGAUGUAGAAACACUGCCUUGCCCGGCAGGUUCAUGUCAAUGAAAUCUUUUAGCAUGGUACAUUGGAUGGAUUUUUGGAGGUGGACGCAAUUCAAACGCACUUGUCAAAGCCAACCAGGAAUGGAGACUGCUGGUGUUGGAUCCAGGCAUAGCAAGGAUCCAGUGGGCGUUGGCAAGAUGUCAUGGUUCGGCACAAUUAUCAUACGAUAUCUGCCCUUUGGGCGUGGUAAUUGGGCCACCUGUAGGGGAGAGAACUAAACUGAACUGGAAUAAAGGGUGUUUAGUUCCCUUUUCAUCCCAAAAAAAAAUUAGGAUUUAGUCCAUCAUUUUACAUAAUAGAACUAAACACCAUAUAAAUUUUUUGGUAAAAAGAUGACUAUUCUCCAUUUGUAUUUUGACCUCAAGAAGCAGCAAAAAAAAAGGCUAGAUGAGCCUCAAAAAGCCAUAAUGAGGGCAAUAAAUUAUGUAUUUUGGAUGGAAUUAAACAUAACUCUAAAAUUUUUUGUAUUUUACAUUUCAUCAUUCCAAAAUAGUUGACGAACUAAACAUGCCCUGAGGAAAAGUUUUCGGCGUCAGCUGCAAAAACAAUUUCCUCUAGUAUCCUGAAUGUUAUGCGGAAAUGGAGUAAUUGGAGUACAAUAUGCAUUCUAUGUAGGGUUUACAGGUUAAUAUCAAUGUCCCAAGUCAGCUUCCACUUGAUGACAACGGAAAAAUUGUGUGCACUGAACUGCCGUUAUUUAGAUGUUCAGUAUGGCUUCAGAUUUCUGGUUUAGGUAUUGCUGCCAGGUUGCACCGUAGCCUGAUUGCUCAUGCUGACGUCCAUCUUCAGAACAAACAAUCUUGGGUCCAUCAAAGUUGAGGAUAUCAGUGUCACCAUCUUUGCGCUUCCAGUUUGAAGGGAGCUUCAUAUACUUAUCAUUGAAGGCCAGAGUUACAGCCAACCUAAUCUGGUCCCUGUAAAUAGAAUUUUAACAUCACCAAGACGGUUGUGAGUAUAUAGUGGCUAAACUUUGGCAUGAUUCAAAGAUGUGCAUUUGUGUUGGAUAUUAGCGUAUUACACAUGAAAUAGAAAUCAUGAGUUUAACUUACCUUUGAUUGGCUAAAUUAAUGGCAUUAAUCCACCACAUGAUGGAAGCAACCAGGUUUUUAUCCAGCUUGCGAGGCUCUAUCAAAAGCACAUCAAAAUCAAGUAGGCAUGCAUCCUUGUUAUAAGGUUCUUUAGACACCCAACUUUGUGCAGCUCCAGCUCUUUGUAUGGCACUAAGAACAUCCAUACUGAUAUAAUCAUUGAGACGCUUGCUGCAAUCUAAGACAGCACCGAUGGCAUAACUGCCUAAAUCCAUGCGACCAAGAUCUUCUACUUUACCCUGCACGGGGGAAAAAAAUCAACAUUUCACAGCAGGUAAUCCAAAGGUGUUGAUAAAAUGCUUAGUUUUGCACACUUUUUCACUUCCAAGUUCCAAAUAUCGUUGGAAUUUUGCUUUUGAGUGCAUGAAUUGAAGGUUUUCAACAACUUCGCUCAUUAUUUUAAAGAUAUGAAUGAAAACGUUUGAUCAUAUGACAGUACCACUCAUGCCAGUGAGAACUAAGGAUGCAAGUGGGGCGGCGGUGGGUAGCCCACCGCGAGUCCGCAUCAACUGCGAGCAUUACGUGGGCUCAUGCGGCAGCCCACGUCUCGCCGCUAUCUCGUUGUGGGUAGUAGCAGCAGCCCGCAAAGUGCCGCAACGCAUGUCCGCUGCUAUCUGCUAGCCUCCUCCAUGGACAGACUCUCAUCUCUCGGUCAAUGGUUAAUGGAUGUUCUGGAAUGGGCGAAUGGCCAUGGCUGGACGCAUGUACUCAACACCGUUCAAUCGAUGCAAUGCUCUGUGCAAGACGCGAGUCGUACGUGCGUGCUGAUUGCUGAUGGAGUGAUGGUAGCCAGCAGGAGUAGACAGGCCGGCGACCGUCAUCCGGUUCCAGUCCCUUUGCAGCACUGGCUGCUGGGCGCCGAUGCACGUGCGGGUGUGCCGUUGAUUGGAUGGCUGCCUUUGGACUCCGAUUCAACACAACUACGCAACCGACAUCGCCAUGCUCGCCCUCCACGGUUGCGCCUCCUACCUCAACUUUAGGGACUUCACGAGCCUGCAGUGGCAACAGCGCCGCUGACCUCCGACGCCCCGCCAUCCAGCUCGCCACCGCCGCCGACGCCUCACAAUUGCAGCAGCAUGCUGCCCAUGGCUCACACGGCAGCACCCAUGUCGUCCAUGUCAGUCGCCUAGGCUGCACCCGUGCCCUCGGCAACGCUACCGUACGAGGCGGACGAUGCCACGACGACAGCGGAAUGUAUGUGGGUUGCCGCUGGGUACUUGUGGGUUGGGCACUUCAACCCACUCUAUCUAAGUGGGCUAUCCUAAGUAGCCCAGCGGGUUAGCGGGCGCCGGCAGCCCAGCGGGUUGAUGCCAUAGCCCGCCCCAACUUACAUCCUUAGUGAGAACCAUUGUCUGCCAGAAACUCUUGAUCAUACAGCUCAGUAGUUUCUUUUCAAUUAUCUUGAGUUACUGUUCAUAUCCAUGGGUGCUUUGUUAAAAGAGAAAGGUGGAGACCAAAAGAGUUCAGUGAUAGGUUUCACUAAAUAGAUAGAGUGGAUGCCUGGUACCUUUAUGAUGGAGUCUGCAGCGAUAUAAACAUAUCUCUUUUUGGACAACUGAGAUUUUGCAAUAAGAAAGGGUGACAAUUCCAUGUGGAAUAACCAAAGAAAGUUUCCUUCUGGAGUGGCAACAUUUAGCUUGUCCUUGAUUUGCUUCUGACUGCAAGGGGCACAAAUAUGAGAAUGGCCACAAUGACAACAUAUAAAGGUCAUGCCAAUAUGUGUGCUCACCUAGUAACAGUGAGAUCUGAAUCAGGUAGCAAGGCUUUUAGCUUGUGGUAGGACGAUUUAUCGUUGCCGCCUUCAGGUAUUAAGAAAUGGAAAGAUAUAUUUUGUGGAUCACUGUCAAACAAAAAGGGUAAAAAGUUAUGCUGGUGACAGGAUUUAUUCAUCGAAUUUUACUUCUAUAUCAUUAUUGGCAAAACAUAGAUGAAAAACUAUCCAACAGAUGCCAAUGAACUCAAGCAGCACGAGUGCACGACCAUGCCAAAGCCCGACGGCCACACCACAAGGGCAUAGGAAGGUGAUAGGAAUUAGGAACUCUUGAUCUAGUUCUGUUUUAACAAAAAGAGUUAUAAUCCUAUCUUCAUGUCAAUGGGGUGAUUUGACUCUAACAGACCAACCUGUAGAAUCAAGGAACCCACUCAAUCUAAUCUUUUUAUGAAUAUCAUAUCUAAUCCUAGGGCAACCAUGAACAGCAGAAGUGCAAGAACAGACCAUGGCAUUGCUAGUAAUUUGCAAAUAACUAUGCUGCUGUGCAUGACCCAGGGCUGCUCCAUCUCAUGAACCCUAGUGGCUUGCACAUGAUAACCUGUUAGCUAAUUGUACAUUAACUGCUAAGAUUUUAUAUAAUCAAAUCAUUGUACUAAGAUCACUUUUCUAAUAACACUGAAAUACACAAAAUGCAGAACCUUGAGCUGGAAAGAGUGGAAUUUGUCAUCACAGCAAGAGUGCGAAGAUCCAGACAGCUUAUCCAAGAGAAGACAUCUACACUUCCAACAUAGUUUAGAGAACCCUGCAGCAGAAUCAGUAGUUUGUUAAGAAAUUUGUUUUUCCUAAUGUCAAUUCAAGCCCUUUUUCAACAGUCCAUAUCAACCCAGACUAACACGCAAGCUAAACGCCAAGUAAAAUUACAGUCCCCGUGAAGUCAUGCCAUGUAGAAAAGAGUCAACCCAAUAGAGAAAUGCAACCUAACACCAAACAUUCAUGACUGUAGACCUUGAAUAAUCCAAUACUAACAUCAAAAUGCUAUUUUAUUUCCAGAUGUCAUCUCCAGUGUCCAAACUUUUUUGACCGAAGUCAGCAGGGGUCCAGGGGAAACCCCAACCUAUUUUUUUAUAUUUUUUUUUAUUCUAGACCUGUUUAAUUCGCUCCCACGGGGAGUCCAACCCAGGCCUACUGGAUGCUACUCAGGUGCUCUAACCACUAGGCUAGAGGCCCUUUCGCCAGUGUCCAAACUUUGAGAAUAUGCAAGUAAAUUUCACUUGUAACUAUUAACAAAAGCGCCACAGAACUACAGCUUUUGGAAACAUGACACAAAACAAAUAUACUCACUUGUGCUGUACAACUACAAUUUUCAAUUUUCCCUGAAAAGCUCUAGUUUUUUGCAAGAACAGAUAGUUCUAGUUUUGCAGCAAACAAUGGUAUGUGUCCAAAAGGUUGUAAUUCUACAGUAAUUGUGCCAAAAUUUUGCAGGUUUUUAAAUUUCAUAGACAAAAAAAAACACUAGCAUUCUGGUGAACUAUCUAGAAAUUAAUGUACACUGCACACAGCCCCGGCAAUUCCUAAUCCAAGAAGCAAAGCAGUCGCACAGAGAGUGAGACAAAGCGUGGCGCACAGUACCGUACCGUUGGAUUCCCCGAGCCGUCAAUGGGGAUCCAGUUGCGCUGGGGGUCGUUGGGGUCCCGGAAGUGCGUGGCCGGGAGGAACUGGAGGCACCCGAGCACGACGAUGGCGACGAUGGCCAGCUUCUGCAUCCAGGGCCACGGCCGCGGCGGCGGGUCGACGUCGGCGUGGAUGGUGGCGCGCUGCCCGCGUGGAGGCGGCUCCUGUGGCCCCCCUCCGCUCCUCGCGGCGGCCGCGGCGCGGCGUUGGAGGCCACCGCCUCCGGCAAGUGGCUCCCUUGCGGGGUCCAUGGGGUGGUGGAUCCGGCUCCUGGUCCUGGCGGGAGGCGGGAGGAGGGAGGGGGAAUAGCGAUGAAUGGCUCGAAGAAGUCGUCGCCGUCGACGUGGGUUUCUAGGCGAUGCGGGGUUUUGGGCUGUAGUUUUUUUUGCAAUUUAGCCCUUUUUCAAAACAAUUUUUACAAUUAGACCCCUCGUGAAACAAUUUCUAAAAAUAGACCGUAUUUCGGCGUUCUCAUACAAUACGCCGUGGUAUGUGGCUCGGCGUCGUAUGAUGCAACGCCGAGGUGGUGCCACGUCAUCGACGACCAUGGCCGUUGAAAACACGUGGCCGGAGCACGGCGUGAAAUACAAUAGCGCCGAGCCACAUACCUCGGCGUUUAAUGACCUAGCGCCGAGGUUAGCGGUUGGAAACAGCGAGGCCCAAUUCGCACGGCGGCCCACAUACCUCGGCGUUUUGCCCUUUGUCGCCUAGCCUCAUAGCUCGGCGUGACACGACUCGACGCCGAGCUCUGGCCAACCAGCCCGAGCCAAGGCCCCUUCUUCUUCCUCUCUUCAUUCUGCCUUUGUGCCCAUCCCCUUUUUUCUCUUCCUCUCUCUUCCCACGAACCCUAAAUCCUAAAACCAAGCAUAGAGGUGUCGGAUCGAGGCUUAUAACGGUUUCCUAAGGUACUACUCCUUCCCCUCUUCCAUUUUAUCCAUUGGGAUCUUGUUUUUAGUGGUGGUUUUUUAUAGAAUAUGUCAUUAAUGGUUUGGUUCAUGUCAUUUGUGAAAUGUCAUUUAUCCAAUGAGUAUUUGACUCAAAUGCGUGUUUACUAUGGUAUAGUAUGUACGAUUCAUGUCCUCAUUUAGUGUUGUAUGUUGUGGAUUAUGGUUUAGGGUUUGCUACUCUUUAGGGUUUUGCUACUCUUUAGUGCAUUGGGCCACUUUGUUAACUUUUUAGUAAGUACGGUUCAUGUCCUCUCUUAGUGUUGUAUGUCUUGGUGCUAUUAGAUGUGGCAUUAGUUAUAGUAACACUUGUUUAUGUAGAUGAUGAACCUGUAUCGAGUAGAGUAUUGGAAAAAACGCGGUCGACCGAGGGAGCUAUAUGCGGACGCCUCUUGUGUGGAUGCCCCGGUACCUCCGGACCUCCCGGUUCCAAAUUGUGAUUGUCAUAAGCCGGCAGAAGUGAUGCAAUCUAGGCAUCCUGACACCGCUGCACGGUGUUUCUACACAUGUGGCCAAUUCAAUGUAAGUUUAUGAAAUUGUGUUUGAAUUUUCAAAAUGUAGGUUAUGGUUGCACCAACGCUUUGCAUGAUUUAUUUGUUUGUUUUUCUAGGACCAUGAGAAGUGCUUCUUCUUCCAGUGGAUCGACGGCCCCGACAAGUUUGACCCACGGUUCUUGCUUUUUGCGGGUAUUUGCCACGGGAAGUUUCCACGUGAUCGCUUCAAACGUUGGGUGCCGCCACCACCAAACCCCCCACCGAUGACUUGUGAGGAGAAGGAAGUAGCUACGGCAAGACGCCUUGAUGACCCUCCUAAGUGCUUUUGUGGUGACAGAGCUAUGGUAGAGCAGACGCGCGGUCCUGAGUUUGUGUGUCCCAACAAGCAUCCAGUAAGUCACUUUUCCUAGUAUACCACUUUUGGUUUCUUACAAGUAAUUUAUAUAGUAUGCUCGAAGUCCAUUGAUUUUCAAUUGUGGUAGGAUUAUUCUAUGGAAAAGUGUCGUUUUAGAGAGUGGCUAUAUGGUCCGAAGUCUCAUUGGCCGGAGGAAAAGAAGAAAAAGAAGGACAGGAUUAUUACCCCAGCGCCUCCGGUUAAGUGCAAGUGUGGUGUUGAGGCUAGCUACGGCCUAGUUCCUUCCGAACUAGGAGUUGGCUAUUUUUGUGGUCAUAUGGUAGACUACGAUGAGGUGAGCUCUUGUUGUUUUUUCAAUAGUGUUAGAACAACAAUAUGUGUUCUUACUAAUUAUCAUUUCUUAUUCAACAUUAGAGCACUAGGAAAUGUGACUGGGAGUAUUGGCAUGGGAAAAGAGACUUCUACCAAACCUGCGAGCAAAAGAAAGCACUAGGCAUUAAGCUUCGUUGCGGGAACCAGCUGUUGGACAACUAUGUGAAGUACUACAAAGAAGACGCACGUCGUGAAGCAAGAGAGGGCCGUCACAACAGCCCCGCAAAAGUAAUGUGGGAGAAAUGGAGGCUUGAAGGUAUCAAGCAAAAAGAAGAGGAGAACUCUUGGAGAGUUGUACUUCAAGAGUAUGACGAAAUGAAGGGUUUAGAGAAAAGAUUGUGUGCUAGUAAGUAAUAAUAAUUUUAAUGUCUGUUUCAUGUCUUUUGUUUUUCUAACAAUUGCUACUUCAUUGUUAAAGAGAUUGGAUGCACCGGAGAUUGGGCCGCUGAUGUGGCUCGUUCAAGUUAUUUGGAGAAGAUAGCUAUGGAGAAGAUGAAGGAGGAUGAAGUCAAAGAGGCGGACGACAACAUGGAUGAGGAGGACAACUCAAAAUUGGACGCUCUCGCCAAACUUGUGCUUGAGCAUGAUGCUUCUAAGAUGGCUCAACAAGAGCAUAAUGUACAUGUGCACAAUGCAGGUGAAACCAGCCGCGCUAUGGACUUUUUGUUGCAGGUGGAGGAGGAUGAGGAGGAGGAAUGGUAUACACAAGCCGUGGAUGAGGCGGAGGCUGCUUACUAUAGCCAAAAGAAUUUGGUGGUAGAGCAGGAGGAGGACGAUGAAUGGUUAACACAAGCCGUGGAUGAAAUUGAGGCUGCUUACUACAGGCAAAAGGCGGAAAAGGCAAAAGGAGUGGUGGUGGAGGCUUGUGAGUCCGACGACGACGAUUUGCUACCUGGCUACGUUUCUGGUUAGAGGUCCAUAAUAUUUGAGGAUGUAAUGGAUUCUUUAUGUGCUAGUCCGAACUAGUGGUACAUGUCUAUGUAUGUUGAGGACUUUUGUGCGACGCCAUGGAUUGCUUCUCCCAUUAGUGGUACAUGUUGAGGGGAAAUGAGUCCAAUUUGAAGUUAUUAAAUAAGUUAAUUUAUAAAGGAAAAUUUAAUAGUUUGGUCUCCAAACAAAUGAAAAAGUAAAACCUAAUUAAACAAUCUGUAUAUAUUAUAAUUUGUAAAUACUUAAGUAAAAUUAAAAUUUACUAAAUAGUAGUAACUAAAAAUGAGUCCAAUUACCAUAUGUUAGAAAAGGUAACUAAAAAAUUAAUGUAAAGCGAAGUUAAAAAAAGUCAUCAGGCUCGGCGUGAUAUAGCUGCACGCCGAGGUUGGCAACCUCGGCGUGGCCACCACCGCGCACCCAGGAAGGUCCAGGGCUGGCCCCUACCUCGGCGUGAAACGAAUAAACGCCGAGUUCUCAUGCUCGGCGUGGCCUAGGUGCACGCCGAGGUUGGCUACCUCGGCGUGUCGAGCACAUCCAACUCAGAGAGGGCCAGGUUUGGCCCCCUAAACCCUACCUCGGCGUUAAAUGAAUAAACGCCGAGGUCUUGGCUCAGCAUUUUAUAUAUUUUUGCCAAAUAUUUUAGCCAUUGACAAAGUAAUACAAAUUGUUAAUAGAAAACCAUAGUCACAUAGUAAUACAAAUUAUAUACGCACAUAUGUAAAUAAAUAAACGACACAUAUUCCAUGCAUGAACGCACAAGUUCAAUCAUAGUCCAUACUUGAUUGGAUAUUAGAGUAGCUCACACAUAACAUAGUCGUUCACACAUAGUCCAUACAUGAGUUAAUUACACAUUGUUAAUUGGCGUUCACACAUAGAGUUUGCACAUAGUUCAUUUGACAUUGUCUAGCCAUCCACAAAGUUGUUGAAGACAAAAUAAGCCGCUGAUCCAUAUUGUGACCUGUGAACAAGAUGUAGGGGGCACCUUAGGAACACAUAUAUGGGACAACGAAGGAACAUGUAGGAUGAAAGGUUUAAGUUUUUACCCUAACGUGGACGCUGACCACCACGCCUUUCCCUUGGCAGCGCGUGGGAACCAGGAGUGUACCUCUCGAUAGGUCGGGUCGCCCUUUGUGGACGUCCAGAGGUAGAGGCACCCUGCGUACCUUGUGGAGCAUCACCCAGCUGUGACAUGCCAAUCUCUUCUUGGUCAUCAACCCCAUAACCCUCGCCUUCUCCUUGUCCUUGUUCCUCUUCAACUUCUAUAGAAGCCCCAGCUCCAUGCGUGGUAGACGGGCCAGCUCCUUCAGAGCCGCCUGCUCCACCAAACUGUUGGGGCUCCACUACGCCGGUGGGUUGUCGACAACCAAGGCGGGCGGCUACCUUGCGCAGGCGAUGCAUUGCACGCUGCAUGGAAUACAUAAUAUAAUUGGGUAACAAAUAUAUACGGGCGAACAAAUAUAUACGAGCUCGAUAUUGGAUUACCUGUAGGGCUGCUCGUAAUUCGUUAGCUUCAUCUGGAGCACCUGGAGGGAUCAUCAAUGUCCUUCCUUGUUCAGCGACUGUCCUCAUGAUUUCGGUACCCUGCUCACAAAUACUAUGAGUAUAAAUCAUUUGACAAUAGACAACUGUCAACAAAAUACAAAUACAUUAGGACUAACCGCUCUAGACAGCACAGGAGCAAUCUCAACUUGUCGGCCUGUCCUGGUGGCUUCAUCGUAGGGGUUGUCGCCCUCAUCUUCACUAGCAAUGUCAGCGAUGUCUUGCUCCGUCCAUGCAGGCCUCAAGCACAACCUUGUCCUUGGCCCUAGCCACGCGAGGUACUCAUUGAACGCAUUGUCGCGGUGCACGGCAUGAAUUCUCAUGUUAUUCUGCUCAUAACGUAGCCACUCAUCAAUGUAUCUCUGGUGUUCGGCCUGCCAGUUCGUAAUCUUCUUCUGUCGCUGACGAUUCAACCUGUCAAAUCAGGAAAUGGUUAGUACAAGGACCAUUAGAAUUAACGAAAUGGAAGAGUCAACUUUGAGAAUUUAAGCGAGGUACCUAUGUAGCUGCCAACUCGUGGAGAAGUCCUCCGGUGGACAAGGUUGGAGCCUACCAAAUUGCCGGGCGACACGGUGCGGGAGGUGGUACUCGACCGCGUAGAAACAUAUGAGGGGGCACCUCAUAGUCCACAAAUCCUCAUCCGCCCUGCACACUGUGCUAAGUGCCAAGCCAAGGAUCCUUUCCCUCCUGUACGGUCUCCACUCAACUUGAAAACAACGACUGCAUUGAGUACUAUGUCCAUAUAGAUUGCUACAAGUCAAAUAAAUUGCUGGUAGACUUACGUGCUGUGGUUGAAGGGUGUCCAUCUCAUUGGUGUAGCUAAUGUAAGCGUGACGGGACACGUGGUACACCCCGCUCGUACGCUCGUAGAGGUGAGCCACCGUAGGAGCAACGAUUGUGUCCCCUUCCGGGAACCAAGCAGGUGGCUGUUGCAUCCUAUGUGGUCUUCCAACAGGAAGCCUCUCCCACAUCCAAAUCUGCAUUCAAAAGGAAGAAGAACUGAGUAUCAUAGGUCUAUCAUGAAAUUAAUGCCUUGCAAGUGAAAGGAAAGACUCAAAUUAUGUACCUGUAGAAGUGUCAUGCACCCAGACAUAGUAGAAUGUGUACCUCCAGCCCUCUGACAAGCCUCGCACAGCUGGCGGUACAAGAAAGCCAAGAUGGCUGAGCCCCAGCUUCUAUUCCCAGCGUCAUCCCAAUUUUGCAAGCACGGGAUGUACAUCCAGGAAGCCGUGUCUCCAGUGCCAUCCGGGAAGAGAACCGUACCGAACAUGUGAAGAACAUAUGCUCUGCAGUAGUAGUUCACUGUGGCUUCAUCAGCGUCUGGUGGACACUGAUGCCACUGCUCUCGAAGCCACCUAAGUGGUACCCCGCUGCUCCUUCUCUUCUUCCCUGCCUCAAGCUCUGGUAGUGCACGUCCCAAGAAGUUAUGCACUCGGUUCUCCCACCCUUCGGACUCGGUGUCUCCGGUCACUGGAAAACCUCUGAUUCUCACUCCAAGGAUCAUGGCUGUGUCCUCUAGAGUGACGGUCAUCUCUCCACAAGGAAGGUGGAAGGUGUGUGUCUCAGGACGCCACCUAUCGAUCAAAGCUGUCAACGCCGCUGGGUUGAAAGGUGGAGUACCGCGACGGCACACACGAGCGACUGCAGCAAGGUUGGCCCUCUUCAAUAGGGGCGUGUACCUCUCAUCGUACACCAUGCUUGUAGCAGCCUCGUGGGUCAUGGGUCUCAAACAGUGGAGCACCUGCAAUGAAAACAACAAAGAGAAACAAACAAAAGUUAUUCGAAAGAAAAAUGGAUGAAAAGAAGUAAUAAGUAAUACAAGUAAUACAAGUCGUAAAAGAAGGGUACCUCUCCAUCC